rnacentral:lncRNA from 1 species
AGAGCAGAGCCCGAUGGGCUGUCUCCAUGCUAAAGGGAGCCUCGAGUUGGUCUGCAUUCCAGGGAUGGAACCCAUGACACAACAGUGAACUGAGCUGUUAGAGUGACGUUGGAUCCUUAGCCCUCUGUGCUGCAAGAAAAUGCCACACUUUUAAUUUCUAUGAGGUUGGUAGUGAUAGUCCCUCUUUUGUUUUUUUAUUUUGGUGAUUUGUGUUUUUUUCUCUUUUUCUUGGUCAGUCUAGUUUUGUCAAUUUUGUUAAUCCUAACAUUUCAGUUUCAUCGUUUUGUCUUAUUGUUCUUAUGUUUUUUUCUCUUUCAUUGAUUUCUUUUCUCAUCUUUAUUAUUUACUUACUUUUGAUUGCUUUGGGGUUUAGUUUGCACUUCUUUUUUUGUUUGUUUGUUUUUUGUUGUUUUAGGGCCGAACCCUCGGCAUAUGGAGGUUCCCAGGCUGGGGGUCUAAUCUCACCUGCAGCCGCUGGCCUACACCACAGCCACAGCAACACCAGAUCCAAGCUGAGUCUGCAACCUACACCACAGCUCACAGCAACGCUGAAUCCUUAAUCCACUGAGUGAGGCCAGGAAUUGAACCUGAAACCUUAUGGUUCAUAGUCAGAUUUGUUUCCGCUGCGCCACGCCAGGAGCUCCUGCACUUCUUUUUCUAAUGCUUACAGUGGAAGUUUAGGUUAUUGAUUUGGUAUCUUUUUUUCUAGUAUAAGUUUUUAAAGCUAUAAAUGUACUGCUAAGUACUGCUUUAACUGCAUUCUAUAAAUUGAUUCGUUAUGUGUGGUCAUUCUUUUCAAAAUACUUUAAAAUUUGCCUUGUGAUUUUUUUUUUUUUGACCUAUGAGUUAUUUUAGAAAUGAUUGUUUAAUGUCCAAAUUGUUGGUGAUUUCCCAAAUUUUCUUGUGUUGUUAUUUCUUAAUUUAAUUCCAAUGUGGUUGGAGAAUAUACCUUGUAUGUUUUUAAUCCUUUUCAAUUUAUUGUUGUUUGUUUAAUGGUCUAACAUAUCAUCCAUCUUGACAAAUAUUCUCAGCAUACUUGAAAAGAAUGUGUAUUCCUGCUCUUGUUGGGUAGAGUAUUCUAAUACAUGGCAGAUUAAGUUAUUUGAUAGUGUUGUUCAAGUCUUGUAGAUAGUUGCUGAUUUCAUGCCUAGUUGCUCCGUACAUUAUUGGGAAGUCGAAUAUUAAAAUCUCUAGUUACUAUUGUUUUUUCUUUUUCCUGUACAAACUGCAUGUUCCUUAAUUUUUUCCCCUAGUGCUUUGGAAAGCAUACAUUUGAAUAAUUAAUUAUAUUUUUCUUUUGGCUUUUAAAAAUGCAUUUAACCACUUAAAUUUUUUUAAUUAAAAAAUUUUAAUUAAAGUGUAGUUAACUACAAUAUUAUAUAAGUUAUGAUGUAUGGCAUAAUGACCCAUGCUUUUUAAAGAUUAUACUCCAUUUACAGUUAUUAUAAAAUAUUGGCUAUAUUCCCCAUGUUGUACAGUAUGUCCUUGUAGCUUAUUUUAUACAUAGUAGUUUGUACUUCUUAAUCCCCUAACCCCAUCUUGCCCCUCUCUUCUUCCCUCUCUCCUCUGGUAACCACUAGUUUGUUUUUUUACAUAUGUGAGUCUGUUUCUUUUUUGUUAUAUUCAUUAGUUUGUUGUAUUUUUAAAAUUCUCUAUAUAAGUGAUAUAGCAUGUUUGUCUUGCUCUGUCUGACUUAUUUCACUUAGUAUAAUACCCUCCAAAUUCAUCCAUGUUGUUGCAAUUGGCAAAAUUUCAUUCUUUUUAAUGGCCGAGUAGUAUUCCAUUAUGUGUGUAUGUGUAUAAAACAUUUUAUUUACUCAUUCAUCUACUGAUGGGCAAUUAUGUUACAUCCAUAGCAUGGCACCCGUAAAUAAUGCACUACAAAAAUUGGGGUUCGUGUAUCUUUUCAAAUUGAGUUUUCAGGUUUUUUUUGGAUAUGUAUCAAGGAAUGGAAUUUCUGGGACAUGUCGUAGUCUUAGUUUUCUGAGAAACUUCCUUACUGUUUUCCACAGUGGCUGCACCAAUUUUCAUUCCCUUUGUACUAGGUUUCCCUUUUUCUCCAUGUCCUCACCAGCACUUCCUAUUUGUGUUCUUUUUGAUGACAGCCAUUCUGACAGGUAUGAGGUGAUAUCUCAUUGUGGUUUUAAUUUCCAUUUCUCUGACGAUUAAUGAUGUUGAGUAUCUUUUCAUGUGCCUGUUGGCCAUCUGAAUGUCCUCUUUGGAAAAAUGUCUAUUCAGGUCUUCUGCCCAUUUUUUAACUGGGUGUUUUUUUAUUUUUUUUUAUGUUGAACUAUAUAAGCUGUUUAUAUAUUUUGGAUGUUAACCUCUUAUUGGUCAUAAGAUUUGCAAACAUUUUCUCCUGUUCAGUAAGUUGUCUUUCUUACUAUUGUGGAAUUCUCUAUUUCUCUCUUCUGUUUUUUGUUUAGUGUAUUUUGGGGCUCAGUUGGUAUGUGUUUAUUAUAUCAUUUUGAUGCAUGUGUUUAUUAUAUGUGCUUAUUAUGUGUUUAUUAUAUCAUUUUGAUGAAUUGACCCUUUCAUCAUUACAAGUCUCUGUCUUUAGUAUGUUUUAUUGUCUUAAAAUCUAUUUUAUUUAAUAUUGAUAUAGACACUUGACUUAUAUGAUGCUGUUGGCAUGCUAUAUAUUUUUUCAUUCUUUUGCUUGCAACCUAUUUGUGUUUAUGGAUCCAAAAUAUCUCUUGUAGGAAGUGUUUAAAUGAAUCUGGUUUUUUAAAAAUCUGGUCUGAUAAUGUUUAGGUCAUGCACAUUUAAUCUAGCUAUUGAUAUGCUUGGAUUUCUCUCUGCAAUUUUGUUAUUUUUUUUCUAUAUGUUUCACGUCUUCUUUGGUUGUUGUGCUUCUGGUCUUCCUUUAUUGUCUCCUUUUGUGGUAAAUAAAUUUUUCUCCAAUGU